GUAACACGUAGUCAACAUGCCCAGGGGACGUGGAUAACCUCGGGAAACUGAGGAUAAACCGCGAUAGGUCACUACUUCUGGAAUGGGUAAUGACUCAAACCUAUAUGGCCCCUGGAUUGGACUGCGGCCGAUCAGGCUGUUGGUGAGGUAAUGGCCCACCAAACCUGUAACCGGUACGGGCUCUGAGAGGAGGAGCCCGGAGAUGGGCACUGAGACAAGGGCCCAGGCCCUAUGGGGCGCAGCAGGCGCGAAACCUCUGCAAUAGGCGAAAGCCUGACAGGGUUACUCUGAGUGAUCUCCGUUAAGGAGAUCUUUUGGCACCUCUAAAAAUGGUGCAGAAUAAGGGGUGGGCAAGUCUGGUGUCAGCCGCCGCGGUAAUACCAGCACCCCGAGUGGUCGGGACGUUAUUUGGGUUCCAAGCAUCCGUAGCCGGUUCUACAAGUCUUCCGUUAAAUCCAGCUGCUUAACAGAUGGGCUGCGGAAGAUACUAUGGAGCU
rnacentral:rRNA from 1 species